rnacentral:lncRNA from 1 species
UUCAAGUUCAUCUUCUUGACUACUUCUUUUUGUUUGUACUCCCUUCUCCACUCCUUCUCUAUCUUCUUGACUAUCCAUCCUUUUAGAGCCUUAUGUGAAACAAACCACUAAAUUUAAUUUAAUUUCAUGAUUCCAUUUGCAAUUGACAAGAUAUUUGUUUUCCAUCUAUUUCAUCCUACAUCGAAGACUUAUGGGCUUCAUAUUCAAUAUAUUUUUACAAAACUCAUUCUCUAUAUUCUUUCCUAUCUAUAUUCUUCAUCGUUUCUUGAAAAUUCUAUCAUUGUAUAUAUUGAUUAUUUUUCUAUGCGAUUUUGAUUGUAAUUUGUUUUCAGAUUUUCUUAACAGUUUAACCUACUAGCCGUGGAUUUUGGUCCCUAAAUGUCUAACAAAAAUAACAUCUUUAAUCACUAACUUUGCUCUAUAUUUGAUUUCAAGUUGCUAUGAAAAAUAGUGUUUGUUGGAUUCAAGUGCUUGAUAUAGAAGGGCAAGAAAGAAAAAUAGCAUUCUCAGAUUGCUACUAUUGUUUGCUUCAUGAUAAAAGGCCUUGAUUCCAAGUUGCCAUAAUUUUCCUAAUUUUACGCUAAUUUAAAAAAUUGAUUUCAAUCAUAUUAGUAACAAGUUUACAUUUUCAUUCAAUCCCUUAAAUUUUGUGAAUACUCCAUUUGAGUUUUUGAUUAGGUUUGCUUAUUCCAGCUAUGAUGAAAGUGAUGGAUAUAACAAGUUCACAACUAACAAACAUCCUUAUUGUUUAAAGUGGAGGUAUUUGGUGUAUAUCAUUUGUUCAUGCAUGUAUGUACCAUGUUCAUUCAUCAGUUGAAAAAAUUAUGCUAAAAAGAAUCUAUAUACUCCCCCCUACAUCAAAUGAGGUUCAUUCAUCCUUAAGAUCGAGUGAGCAAGUUCAAAAGCAAGUGGUUUUUGCAAGAAAAGAUUUGGUUUUUUGUAAGAGGUAAUAUUUAUGCCGUUGGUGUCAUUGUUGUAGUGCAUUGUACAAUAACAUACAUGUCCCAAUUCAUCAUUUGGACUUUGGAAAGGCUUGAAAGACUCAGAGAUCAAGAUAAAGAAAAGAGUUCACAGGAGAAUGUUCAAUGUUAAAGAGAGACAUGAAGAUGUUGAGUAAAAAAUUUAAUGAUCUAUAUGAUUGUAAAUUAAUAUCAUUGUAAUAUUAUUGUAAGACAAUAAUAAUUAUUUUAUUGAGCACAAAGAAACCCACGCUAGCUUUCAUCUCUAUAUAUGAAUUUUACAUUCCAACAAGUAAUUUUAAUCGUUUACUCUAACGUGA